AUGGCUGACAGGCUUUAUUCUGCUGUAUGAAAAAGUCUUUACUUAAUUCACAGACUGGAGUAAGGGGACAGAAGUAAUAAGAAAGAUGAAUAACUACAAGCAGAGAGAUCAUUUUAUUUGUGAAAAGAGGAAGCAACAAGGUGGAGAUGAGUUAAAAGAGGAAGAGCAUUGGACAGAGGAUGGAGAGCAGGACAGAGAGAGACGAUAAAACAGAGAUGUGGAGCAGAGGGGAGGAGUUAAAGAGGAAAUAAAGGUGAACUGGAAACAGAGGACGGUGACAGAGCACAAAGAGGCAAAGAAAGAAAACAAGAAAACAAAAAAGGAAACAAGAGAAAAGAGCCAGCAGUGAUGAAUGCAGCUCGAAUUCAUGACAAACAGAAGCUGAAGUCAUUCUGGGAGCAGAGGAUUGUUCAGCACAGCGAGCAGACGAAUGAUGAGGAGAACCGUAUGAGGAACAGCGCUUUGGCACGACUGAGGGAGCAGUGGGUCAUCAGGUUGGAGCAGAGGAAUCAACACCUGCAGAGUUUCUUCGAGGAGAGAAUGAGACGAGUGCAGAAAUCCCAGCAAAUCCUCGGAAAGACUGAUUCACC